GGUAUGCUCUGGAGAGAAGGGGAAUGAGAGUCAGGAGGAUUAGAGGUGAAAACCCCAACAAUUCAAUCAAUUUGCACCUUUUAUUCAAGUAUAUCACAGCAGUUUGUGAAAAGUACAGUAAAUGUUUCAUUUAAAAUAUAACUUACACUAAAGUAACGUGUGUUAAAUACAUUUAUUCACCUCCAAAAAAAAGGUAAACUUAUAGUUUGAACUAAACAAAGGGAGGGAAAAAAAAAACCCCUUUCCUUCCACAUACUGGACUAAGUAGUUUUAACUACCAGACAAAAAUUGGUUUAGUCCAAACAGGCUACAAUUUAGAAUAAGAGAGGAAGCUUAAUGUAUGACAUCUUACUAAACCUGUUUAUUCCCAAUUGUUUCCUAAAUUUGUAA